GACGUAGGGCGCGAGCGUUGUCCGGAUUUAUUGGGCGUAAAGAGCUCGUAGGCGGCUUGUCGCGUCGUUCGUGAAAACCCGGGGCUCAACUCCGGGCUUGCGGGCGAUACGGGCAGGCUAGAGUUCGGUAGGGGAGACUGGAAUUCCUGGUGUAGCGGUGAAAUGCGCAGAUAUCAGGAGGAACACCGAUGGCGAAGGCAGGUCUCUGGGCCACUACUGACGCUGAGAAGCGAAAGCAUGGGGAGCGAACAGG
rnacentral:rRNA from 1 species